AAACUCACUUGGCCAGAGACGGUCAACAGCAAACAUGCUGAGCUGCUUCUCCACUUUGAGAGGCCGCAGCCUCAGGGCCUCAGGCAGAGAAAGUAUCUGUGAAAGAUUAAGAAGAUGGCUGACUCCAUCCAGACACUGCAGGCCAUGCUGCAGCAGCCACAUGAUUGCCACAGUCACCCCAGUGAAGGUCUCCCCGAGAGUGACCACCAGUGACCUACCAAAAUCAAGGUCUGUACAAGCUUUUCAGAAAGGCUGCAGCACAGAAUGCCUUUCUGCAGGAAAAAGAGAUGAAGUUGGAUAGGUUGCCAAAGCCUGGUUAUGAAGACCCCAGUGUCCAAAACAAGAGGAUCUGCCUUCUGCAGGUACUGGGAGACACUAGAGAAUCUUAGGUAGGGUGGUGACAUAAGCAUGUUUACAUUUUGGAAAAGAAAGACCACUGUGUUGGUCUCACAGAGGAAAGGUG
rnacentral:lncRNA from 1 species